GCUGAAGAACAAAUUGUUUACAAGAACCCAAGCAAGUGUUGUGGCUGAAACGAGCAGUAUAGCCACUUUGAUUUUUCUUUCUCGACAAAGCCUUACAGUGCACAGAGGUCACAGGAUCUCCUAGCAGAGGUGAGAAUCAGACAUAACCAGCAACUUCAAACCCAGCCAAAAGAUUCUCACUAAGGAAAUAUCAUGGAGGUACUCAUCUGGAAAAUCUACAAGGUUUUGAAUCAAAAUAUUUUAACGGCCAAAGGACUACCGAUAAAGAAUGUGAAUGACUACAACUGCA